GAGCCUUAAGUCAGUUAAAAGUUGAAAUAUGUCACAGCUGCAUAGUUGAUGCAGGAGUGCUCAGAAGUGUGCUCUGAAGAGUGCAUCCUUUAUAUGGUCAAAUAUUUUUCUAACUUGGACGAGUCAUUGCAAUGCGUCACUGCAAUUUGCUUUCUUGGAAGAAGCCAAUCACUAAUCUUUUAUAAGUUAUAACAUAUUUGUGAAAGUGCAAAACUAGGGAACAAGUUUUAUCAGCAGUUUCCCUAAUUUGUGGUAAUUUGUCAGCUCAAAAAGGUGCAAAGAAAGAUUGAUUCCUUCUGUGUUCUAACUCCAUCACUAAACUUGUAAGAUACAGGGCCAGGACUCAAGUGAUUGUGACUUUGUUAACGAUGCCUGGAAUCAAGAUCCGUGAUGAAGAUCGAGAAAAAAUCCCAGCGAAGUAUAUUUGUACUUACUGUCAUCACCUUCUCAUCAAUCCAAUGCAGACCUCGUGUGGACAUUUGUUUUGUAAAUCUUGUAUGAACAUUAUUCUUGGGUUUUCCAGGAUGCUUUUACGAAGCGUGAGUUAAAAAGGAUUCAAUUACACUGUCCAUCUGAAGCGUGUAAAUGGUUUGGUACAUACGAAGAAUUGGAGGGUCAUUCUCAUGUUUGUGAGCAUGCGCUCAUCAGCUGUAUUCAUAAACAGUGUAACAUUCAGUUGCCUCGCUCUCUUCUUGGUAAACAUUUGAAGAAUGAAUGUGAAUAUGAAAUGUAAAAUGUGAAUAUUGUGGUAAAGAUGUCCCGUAUGCUUCACUUAAGGAUCACAAAGAAAAUGUAUGUGAAAAUUAUCCCGCGAUUUGUAAAUAUUGCAAUCAAAUAAUACCGAAGAAAGAUACUGAACACCAUGAAAAGACGACUUGUAAUGAAGUGCCGACAAAAUGUGAAUUUCAAGCCAUUGGAUGCAGUUAUGACAAAACUUUAAAACGAAAGGAGAUCCGUCAACAUUUGAAUGACAAUCUAAUUGAUUACGUGAGCGCCUUGUUACGAUAUGUUAUGGCAUUUGUUAAACAGUUAAGUAACUAUAUACCGCGUCCAGAGUUUACUACUUUUGUUCAAAACUUGGGUGACCGAAUCACUGCUGUUCGUGCCAAUCUUUCAGACAAAUUUUUGAUGUUAUUUGGAAAACUUACAGGCUUAGAAAGGAGAAUUGAGAGUCUAGAAAGUCGUUAUGGGAGCAAUAAUAAUAACACUUAAUUGUCUGUAGAUGUUUCCUCGAUGUGUGAAAGGAUUGCGACCCUCGAGCGGCAAGCAAGAGAUAAUUCAUUCAUGAUAGUACAGUUUUACGAGCGUUUCGGCCAUAUUGACGAAUCAUUUGCGCGAAUUCAAGGCAUGGCUGACCAAGUCCCUGCUUUUUUUGUCAAUCUCUUUGAAAAAGUGGAAAUUUUAGAGCGUGAAGUGAGAUCUAAUACAUCUACUAUACAAUGGACUAGCGAGCGUUUGGACGAGGUAGACGAAUUACGUGUGCAAAACCCGGCUAUGGGAGCACAAAAUGAAGCGCGCGAACUUUGAUUAAAUCAUGCAAAGCAAUUAUUGCUAUUUUUCGUAAUUACUCGCCAAUUUAUUAUUAUUUUUCACUCCUGUAAAUGAUAUUUAUUCUAUUCAGUUUCAUACGUUAGUAAUUUUGAAGAAUGUUCAUUGUAUUUUUUUAUUGUAUUAUCCAUCCACGAUGAUAGAAUAUCCUUGUAAAUUAAUAAUACAAUUGUGUUGAUAUCAUGCUAUAUUGUAUUGUAAAUGUAAUUUAACAUGCAGCUUUGAUAUAGAAAGAUCAUAAAGUGAUGUCCAUUUAUUUGUAAUUUAUAUUACUGUAUGUUUUAUCUGAAAACUCCAUACAUAAAUAGUCUGUGAAGAGCUACCGUUUCUUUGUUCUGUAAGUACAAUUAAAUAAAUAAAAAAGAAAUUUGCUAAUUAAA